CCGCACAGUUCGUACACCAUGCAGCGAAUGAGGGCGAAGGUCAAUAAUUCCCGCGCUACCCGGAAGGCUGCGAGAGCAGAGGAGCGGCGAGCUGGUCCGUCGAGGCGUAGAAGGCACUGCGGUUCCAAGACUGCGAUCUGGGUGACGCUUGGCGCAUCCUUGCUGGGUUUGAUGACCAUGCCCCUACGACUGUGCUAUCAUGUACUGAUGGUGCCGUUCCGCAUCUUCUCGUAUGUGAUGCAGACCAUCGCGUCCAUGAUUCCCCUCUACCCCCGUUUUUGGUAGAACCAGUGGAUUCAUCACGGCACUGUUUCCAGAUCCCGCUUUUCCUGUAAAAAAAAAAGACCUGGCGCCUAACAACCGAAGAUAUUCAGAGUGGCUAUCGGACCUGCGGUCU
rnacentral:lncRNA from 1 species